rnacentral:rRNA from 1 species
GGAGGGAGCUAGCGUUGUUCGGAAUUACUGGGCGUAAAGCGUACGUAGGCGGUUAUUCAAGUCAGAGGUGAAAGCCCGGGGCUCAACCCCGGAACGGCCUUUGAAACUAGGUAGCUAGAGUCUUGGAGAGGUUAGUGGAAUUCCGAGUGUAGAGGUGAAAUUCGUAGAUAUUCGGAAGAACACCAGUGGCGAAGGCGACUAACUGGACAAGUACUGACGCUGAGGUACGAAAGCGUGGGGAGCAAACAGGAUUAGAUACCCUGGUAGUCCACGCCGUAAACGAUGAUAACUAGCUGUCCGGGCACUUGGUGCUUGGGUGGCGCASUAACGCAUUAAGUUAUCCGCCUGGGGAGUACGGUCGCAAGAUUA